GGAUGUAGCUCAAUGGUAGAGCAUUUGCCUAGCAUGCUCAAGGCCCUGGGUUAGAUCCCCAGCACCA
rnacentral:tRNA from 1 species